rnacentral:rRNA from 1 species
UACGGGGGGUGCAAGCGUUGUUCGGAUUCACUGGGUAUAAAGGGUGCGCAGGCGGCCUGUUAAGUCAGAGGUGAAAUUUGUCGGCUCAACCGACAAACUGCCCCUGAAACUGACAGGCUUGAGUCCGGGAGAGGAAGGUGGAAUUCCAGGUGUAGCGGUGAAAUGCGUAAAUAUCUGGAGGAACACCGGUGGCGAAGGCGGCCUUCUGGCCCGGAACUAACGCUCAGGCAAGAAAGCUAGGGGGGCGACCGGGAUUAGAUGCCCCGGUAGUCCUAGCCGUAAACGACGGGUACUAGGUGUUGGAGGAUUCUACCCCUUCAGUGCCGCAGCUAAUGCAUUAAGUACCCCACCUGGGGAGUACGAUCGCAAGGUUG